GACCGGAAGUUGUGUAAAUCUGGGUCGCAUUUGAUAAAUGACAGUCGUGCGAAGAGUUAACAAGAUAUAAUAGGAACAGCCAUCAUGAGUGUACUUGCAGCAGUAAUGUACACAUAGGCUUGUGACUCGCAUAGAUAGGAUUACAAGAAGAUAGGAUUACAAGAAGAUAGGAUUACAAGAAGAUACAUGUAGGAUUACAAGUACUAUAUGGUAGCACUUUCUAGAUGAAUAAGAAAUGUACACCAAGAUCUAUUUCAAGAUGUGUUCUGUUCAACUGGCCGAUGAUUUCCACCCACACCUCAAGUAAUCUGCCUGUGUAAGACUGCGAAGAAAACACGAGGGGAGGGUAAAAACAAUGUAAUUAUUUACCCGUCUGAAUCACCUUGUUGACUUGUCUCCCAGUUUCGCUCUUUGUCUUAGCCGAGCCACUUCCUGGGCCUCUCGUCACGUCUGACAACCAAUGAUGCAUGGUGUCACGCUGGGUGAGCACGCGUCACAUGACUCGGAGAACGGCGUCGCGAGUCACUCAUUUGACGCGGCGCUCGCACAGGAGACGGAGCUAGCUGUCGAAGAGGAGAAACCAGAGGAGGACGAACACUGCACCAAGACUAAGAUCUGCGUAGAGAACGUUUCGCCGUUCACGGAAUAUGUGAAUAUGGACGACUACCGGAGGGAGAGUCAGUCAUCGGUGGAGUCAGACGAGAGUUACGAGGGCUCAGAGGAUCAGCUGAUGAUGCUCUUCAAGAUGGGACAUGUCAAGCAGCUGAAGAAGUUCCUGCGCAUGACGACGUGGCCCGACGACCACCUGAUCCGACACUCGCUGUGGCUGUCACUGUGCAAACACCUCCACAAGGCAGAUGGGAACCUGUACGAUGAGAUGGAGAAGGAACUGUUCAGUCAGUGUGAUAUGAGUGAGAAUAUUCCACUGCCAGGCUUCCUCGAUCAGACUCACCUGACGCCGUACUACCUGUCUGACCGCGGCGUGCACCUCAUCGGCCGAAUCAUCGCAGUCAUCAACCACACCAACCCCGACAUCACCUACAGCCCGGCCACGUUCGCUAUCUCCAGUCUCUUCCUGCACUACAUGGGGCCGUCGGAAACCUUCAACUGUCUGUACGCGCUGCUGCACAGCAAGGAACUCAUGUACAUUUCUCAGACGAAGGUCUCACUCGAGGCAUCCAAGUAUGUCCUUCGAGAUCUCACCAAGAAAUUUGCAAAAUCUGCAUACGUUCAUCUGGUGAGGCACAGCAAGAAUGUGGAAAAUAUCUUUGACAACUGGAUCUGGUGGAUUUACAGAGAUCUGCCAUUCUCUUUUCUAGUAAAACUCACUGACUGUUUUCUCGUGGAGGGAGUCAAGGUGUUGUACAGAGCGGUUCUUGCAAUUCUAAUCUUAUACACCAAGAUGUCAGGUAAACUGAAGACGUCUUCUCAGGAGCCUGUCAGUGUGAACAUAUCCAACAACAUCAGCCGAUUCUGUGAAAGAAUGCCUGUGGACAUCACUAAAUUCCUUAAGAUAGCCUUUGGUAUCCGAGGGUUGUCACGCAAGGAAAUCCACAAGCUGCAAGUGAAGCAUGAAAUGUACAUCAACAGUCGUCAGAUACUUACCUCGAAGGAAAUCCCCCGCGUGGCAUCCUCCAUCUCUCUGUGUGGCGUGCCAGUGUCCAGGACGUUUACCGGACCAGUCAUGCUGCAGCAGAGUGCUGGCUCACAUAUCUUAAGCAAUGAAAUGCUGCAGACGAUAUGGAGCUGGUUGCCGGCGCGUCUCGCAGUCUGUCAGCCAGAACUGCUGUACACAUCCGAGGAACACGGCACCAGUCUGAGAACACUGUAUGCCAAGAUAGAGUAUCGCUCACAGUCCAUCAUCAUCAUCAAGACCACUAACAAUGAGAUUUUUGGUGCCUUCUGUUCGGCCGCGUGGCAGCAGAGAAAGUCGAAGGAUAAGAACCUGAGUUACUUCGGUACGGGCGAGACGUUUCUGUUCUCGCUGGCGCCGACCAUGAUGAAGUACGAGUGGGUGGGGCUGUGGAAGGAGGACGUGCCCAACACCGGAAACAUGUUCCUGGCUGGGGAUACGAGCGAACUCACCAUCGGCGGAGGAAACGGUGAAGCGAUCAAACUUGAUGAGGACCUAAUGCACUGCAGAACUGAAAGCUGUGACACAUUCGACAACGAGCCAUUUUGUGAGGGCAAAGACUUCACAUGUAAAGUCGUUGAAGCGUAUGGAUUUCGAUGAUUUGAGGCAAAGACUUGACGUGUCAAGUGAUAACGGCAUCUGCUGAGUCAUCGUCUGACAUGGUUGAUCGACUCACGGUCGAGUAACCACACGCCUUCUGUGAGGACUGAGAUGUCUGGUGAUCUGAGGACGAGGACCGCGUCCCAUCCUAAUGUGUACGUGCACUGCAUGCCUAGGUAAUGGGUGAAAUGGUCUGGAAACCACCCAACUGACUGGAAACCACCCAACUGGCUGGAAACCACCCAACUGACUGGAAACCACCCAACUGGCUGUCUGGACCUAGACGACUUUAUUGUUGGUUUUACCGGCCUCGGUGGCGUCGUGGCAGGCCAUCGGUCUACAGGCUGGUAGGUACUGGGUUCGGAUCCCAGUCGAGGCAUGGAAUUUUUAAUCCAGAUACCGACUCCAAACCCUGAGUGAG
rnacentral:misc_RNA from 1 species